rnacentral:snRNA from 1 species
AAGCUUCGGCAGCACAUAUACUAAAAUUGGAAUGAUACAGAGAAGAUUAGCAUGGCCCCUGCACAAGGAUGACACACAAAUUUGUGAAGCGUUCCAUAUUUUC